rnacentral:rRNA from 1 species
UACAGAGGUCCCGAGCGUUGUUCGGAUUCAUUGGGCGUAAAGGGUGCGUAGGCGGCUUGCUAAGUUUGAUGUGAAAUCCUGGAGCUCAACUCCAGAACUGCCUUUGAUACUGAGGAUCUUGAGUUCGGGAGAGGUGAGUGGAACUGCGAGUGUAGAGGUGAAAUUCGUAGAUAUUCGCAAGAACACCAGUGGCGAAGGCGGCUCACUGGCCCGAUACUGACGCUGAGGCACGAAAGCGUGGGGAGCAAACAGG